AUGAACGCUGGCGGCGCAUUUAAGACAUGCAAGUCGAACGAAAACGAACAAAUUAAGAAGAGUGGAAGAUUUAUCUGAAAUGAUUUUUAGACCGUGAGUUUUAGUGGCGGACGGGUGAGUAAUACAUAGAUAAUCUACCUUUUAGAGGGAAAUAACUAGGAGAAAUCCAAGCUAAUGUCCCAUAAGACCACAUUACCGCAUGAUAAAGAGGUCAAAGGAGAAAUCCGCUAGAAGAUGAGUCUAUGGCUGAUUAGUUAGUUGGUGGGGUAAGAGCUUACCAAGACAAUGAUCAGUAGCCGAGCUGAGAGGCUGGCCGGCCACAUUGGGACUGAGACACGGCCCAGACUCCUACGGGAGGCAGCAGUUGGGAAUAUUGGACAAUGGAGGGAACUCUGAUCCAGUGACGCCGCGUGAAGGAAGAAGGUCUUCGGAUUGUAAACUUAUUUUAUCAGGGAAGAAAUAAAUGACAGUACCUGAAGAAGAAGGACCGGCUAACUACGUGCCAGCAGCCGCGGUAAUACGUAGGGUCCGAGCGUUAUCCGGAUUUACUGGGUGUAAAGGGCGAGUAGACGGAACUGCAAGUCAGAUGUGAAAUGCUAGAGCUCAACUUUAGAACUGCAUCUGAAACUGUGGAACUAGAGUGCAGGAGAGGUAAGCGGAAUUCCUAGUGUAGCGGUGAAAUGCGUAGAUAUUAGGAGGAACACCAGUGGCGAAGGCGGCUUACUGGACUGUAACUGACGUUGAGGCGCGAAAGUGUGGGGAGCAAACAGGAUUAGAUACCCUGGUAGUCCACACUGUAAACGAUGGAUACUAGGUGUAGGCAUGAAUGUGUCUGUGCCGUCGCAAACGCAGUAAGUAUCCCACCUGGGGAGUACGGCCGCAAGGUUGAAACUCAAAGGAAUUGACGGGGGCCCGCACAAGCAGUGGAGUAUGUGGUUUAAUUCGACGCAACGCGAAGAACCUUACCAAGUCUUGACAUCCCUUGACGAUGCUGGAAACAGUAUUUCUCUUCGGAGCAAGGAGACAGGUGGUGCAUGGUUGUCGUCAGCUCGUGUCGUGAGAUGUUGGGUUAAGUCCCGCAACGAGCGCAACCCUCGUGAUUAGUUGCCUUGAAGAAAGGAACUCUAAUCAGACUGCCGUAGUUAAUACGGAGGAAGGUGAGGAUGAUGUCAAAUCAUCACGUCCCUUAUGUCUUGGGCUACACACGUACUACAAUGGGUGUUACAAAGAGAAGCGAAACCGUAAGGUGGAGCAAAACUGAAAAAAGCAUCCCUAGUUCGGAUUGUAGGCUGCAACCCGCCUACAUGAAGCUGGAAUUGCUAGUAAUCAUAGGUCAGCAUACUAUGGUGAAUACGUUCCCGGGCCUUGUACACACCGCCCGUCACACCAUGAGAGUUGAGAAUACCCGAAGUCCAUGUAAAAGUGGCCGAAGGUAGGCUUGAUGAUUGGGGUG
rnacentral:rRNA from 1 species